AACCCGCCUGCGUGAAGUUGGAAUUGCUAGUAAUCGCGGAUCAGCAUGCCGCGGUGAAUACGUUCCCGGGCCUUGUACACACCGCCCGUCACACCAUGGGAGCCGGUAAUACCCGAAGUCAGUAGUCUAACCGCAAGGGGGGCGCUGCCGAAGGUAGGAUUGGCGACUGGGGUGAAGUCGUAACAAGGUAGC
rnacentral:rRNA from 1 species